CAAUAGCGUAUAUUAAAGUUGUUGCAGUUAAAAAGCUCGUAGUUGGAUUUGUGGCGUACGGUGUGUUCCGGGCACUUGUUGUCUGAGUAACCUGCUGUUGCCAUCCUUGGGUGGAACCUGUGUGGCAUUAGGUUGUCGUGCAGGGGAUGCCCAUCAUUUACUGUGAAAAAAUUAGAGUGUUCAAAGCAGGCUUAUGCCGUUGAAUAUAUUAGCAUGGAAUAAUGAGAUAGGACUUCUUUGCUAUUUUGUUGGUUUGCGCAAGAAGGUAAUGAUUAAUAGGGACAGUUGGGGGUAUUCGUAUUCCAUUGUCAGAGGUGAAAUUCUUGGAUUUUUGGAAGACGAACUACUGCGAAAGCAUUUACCAAGGAUGUUUUCAUUAA
rnacentral:rRNA from 1 species